rnacentral:rRNA from 1 species
CCUGCUUCCAGGAAAAGCCUCUAAGCAUCAGGUAACAUCAAAUCGUACCCCAAACCGACACAGGUGGUCAGGUAGAGAAUACCAAGGCGCUUGAGAGAACUCGGGUGAAGGAACUAGGCAAAAUGGUGCCGUAACUUCGGGAGAAGGCACGCUGAUAUGUAGGUGAAGUCCCUCGCGGAUGGAGCUGAAAUCAGUCGAAGAUACCAGCUGGCUGCAACUGUUUAUUAAAAACACAGCACUGUGCAAACACGAAAGUGGACGUAUACGGUGUGACGCCUGCCCGGUGCCGGAAGGUUAAUUGAUGGGGUUAGCGCAAGCGAAGCUCUUGAUCGAAGCCCCGGUAAACGGCGGCCGUAACUAUAACGGUCCUAAGGUAGCGAAAUUCCUUGUCGGGUAAGUUCCGACCUGCACGAAUGGCGUAAUGAUGGCCAGGCUGUCUCCACCCGAGACUCAGUGAAAUUGAACUCGCUGUGAAGAUGCAGUGUACCCGCGGCAAGACGGAAAGACCCCGUGAACCUUUACUAUAGCUUGACACUGAACAUUGAGCCUUGAUGUGUAGGAUAGGUGGGAGGCUUUGAAGUGUGGACGCCAGUCUGCAUGGAGCCGACCUUGAAAUACCACCCUUUAAUGUUUGAUGUUCUAACGUUGACCCGUAAUCCGGGUUGCGGACAGUGUCUGGUGGGUAGUUUGACUGGGGCGGUCUCCUCCUAAAGAGUAACGGAGGAGCACGAAGGUUGGCUAAUCCUGGUCGGACAUCAGGAGGUUAGUGCAAUGGCAUAAGCCAGCUUGACUGCGAGCGUGACGGCGCGAGCAGGUGCGAAAGCAGGUCAUAGUGAUCCGGUGGUUCUGAAUGGAAGGGCCAUCGCUCAACGGAUAAAAGGUACUCCGGGGAUAACAGGCUGAUACCGCCCAAGAGUUCAUAUCGACGGCGGUGUUUGGCACCUCGAUGUCGGCUCAUCACAUCCUGGGGCUGAAGUAGGUCCCAAGGGUAUGGCUGUUCGCCAUUUAAAGUGGUACGCGAGCUGGGUUUAGAACGUCGUGAGACAGUUCGGUCCCUAUCUGCCGUGGGCGCUGGAGAACUGAGGGGGGCUGCUCCUAGUACGAGAGGACCGGAGUGGACGCAUCACUGGUGUUCGGGUUGUCAUGCCAAUGGCACUGCCCGGUAGCUAAAUGCGGAAGAGAUAAGUGCUGAAAGCAUCUAAGCACGAAACUUGCCCCGAGAUGAGUUCUCCCUGACUCCUUGAGAGUCCUGAAGGAACGUUGAAGACGACGACGUUGAUAGGCCGGGUGUGUAAGCGCAGCGAUGCGUUGAGCUAACCGGUACUAAUGAACCGUGAGGCUUAACCUUACAACG